AGUCUUAUAUUCAUUUAUAAUAAUGAUAUAAAAUUGCAAAUUUUAAGGAGUAUAAAAUAAUUACUAAGGCUU
rnacentral:tRNA from 1 species